CAACCCUCAAGCUCUGCUUGGCGUUGGGCCCCGCGGCUUACCCUCGCGGGCCUUAAAAUCAGUGGCGGCGUCCUCAGGCUCCGAACGUAGUAUAUAUUCCUCGUUACGGAGGCCUGGCGGCGGUAGCCAUCAACCCCCAACUUUCUAA
rnacentral:misc_RNA from 1 species